UCCCAACUUGUCGAGAAAUGAGGGGAAGUGUGAAAUUUUCUCGAGGUAAUCAGUGAGAAAAAGAAAACACGGGCUGAGAAAAAAUGGAGAUAGUGGCAGCCAUAGGAGUGUUAUCGCCAUUCCCAUUCUACUACUGGCUGUGGACAUCUCCACAAUCAUGGGUAAACUUAGGUGGGAAAGGGCAAGAUCCUUCAAAAUUAAUGGCUUAUGUCUCUCAUUUCUUGAAGCUCUUGCAAUUCAUUUCUCUAUAUUCAGUUUCCUCUCUUUCAUGGCCUCCUCCUCUCUACUUUUAUCCCCUUUUUCUGUUUGGCCAGCUCCUCAACUUCAGGGUAUAUCAGUUACUUGGUGAAUCAGGCACUUACUAUGGUGUACGCUUUGGGAAGAACAUUCCAUGGGUGACAGAGUUCCCUUUUGGCUACAUAAAAGAUCCUCAAUAUGUAGGGAGCAUUUUAAGUCUUCUGGCAUGCCUGUCCUGGGUCCCCAUUCAGUACAUUCUUCUGUGGAUUCUAGGCUAUGUGUUCAUGAUAUAUCUGGAAUCAAAGGAAGACCCAGCUACUCGUGCAAAGGCACUCUCAUAAUUCAAGAGUUGCAGUAGACUGACUGGUGAUUUGGAAGAAUUAAUUGCGCAAAAGAUUGACCCAAAGUUCUCUCCCCAUGCUGUUGCUUCAAUUGAAAGUAAGGAGAGAGGGAACAAAAUGAGAUGAAAUGAAAAACAGUUCUCUUUGUUCAGGCUGGAGCUAGAAGUUCAGUUAAGAUUUGCAUUGCAUAUAUGGCAUUGUGGAAUUCAAUAUCUGCUAACAUUCCUGUCUUCGAUGAAACAAUUGUGCACUUCUUAUGUUCUGCAUUGAGAAUAAAUAGUCUUCCCUUCUGCUUAGAGCUGAAGGAUGCAAUGCUGCAAAAGAAUGACGAGAAAGAGAAAGAAAAGUAAGAGCAAAAACUCUCUUUUAAAGUCCAUCGACAUGCAAAUCAGACUUCAUUGAUUCUUAGCAUGGAAAAAGUUACUUGCAACAAUAUGUAUAAUUCCAUAAAAGAACAUUGUGAUAAAUUUAUGAAUCGUGGGGGGAGUUUUCUGACAA